rnacentral:rRNA from 1 species
GACGAACGCUGGCGGCGUGCUUAACACAUGCAAGUCGAACGGAAAGGCCCUGCUUUUGUGGGGUGCUCGAGUGGCGAACGGGUGAGUAACACGUGAGUAACCUGCCCUUGACUUUGGGAUAACUUCAGGAAACUGGGGCUAAUACCGGAUAGGAGCUCCUGCUGCAUGGUGGGGGUUGGAAAGUUUCGGCGGUUGGGGAUGGACUCGCGGCUUAUCAGCUUGUUGGUGGGGUAGUGGCUUACCAAGGCUUUGACGGGUAGCCGGCCUGAGAGGGUGACCGGCCUGAGUGGGACAGUAGCACGGACAGAACGAGGACGGGAGGGAGGAGGGAGGAAUAAUGCAGAGGGGGCGGAAGCCUGCAGGAGACACGCGGGGUGGGGGAUGAGGACCUUUGGGUUGUAAGCCGUGUGCGAAUGUGAAGAAGAGGGAGGGAGGGGAAGGAGUAAACAAGAACCGACGAACGACGGAGAAGCGCAUUAUAUAAGGGACGACCACUCGCCUAAU